CAAAGGUCUAUCUGCUCCGACUCUGGAAUGUACAUCGUCGACUUGACUUAGAUUUUGAAGUUGGAGUAAUCACUUUUGGCACCUCUUGGCAUCCUUGCUCCUCUGAUGAUGGAACCUCCGGUCUCUUCACCCAUCACCAUAAACGCAGUUUAAGUCCCAGGAUGGGAAAACAAUAGCUACGUAGAGGAACUGAAGAAAGAGCUACUCCAGGAGGAGUAGCAGCAAUGGGGACAUAAUGAAAUACAGGCUGAAACAUUGUUUUGUCAGUGUCUUAUUUCUCGCCU